rnacentral:rRNA from 1 species
UACGUAGGGAGCGAGCGUUGGUCCGGAUUCAUUGGGCGUAAAGAGCUCGUAGGCGGCUGUCACGUCGCUGUGAAAACCCGAGGCUCAACCUCGGGCCUGCAGUCGAUAACGGGCAGGCUGAGAGUUCGGGUAGGGGAGACUGGAAUUCCUGGUGUAGCGGUGAAAUGCGCGAUAUCAAGGAGGAACACCGGUGGCGAAGGCGGGUCUCCUGGGCCGAUACUGACGCUGAGGAGCGAAAGCGUGGGGAGC